rnacentral:lncRNA from 1 species
CCCUUUUCCACCUUUUAUUUGGUUCAAAGUAAAACUGUCUGUUUUAACAAGCCCCCCCUUCUAUUGGUCCAAUGUUGCUCGGGCGGUUGUUUGGCCGCCUACGGGCUCUGCCAUAGGCGGUGCAGGACGACGGGGCGCGGCGGGGGACACGGCGGCCGCCGCGGGGCUCGAUCGGGCAACGGCGGCGGCGGCGGCGGCGGCGGCGGCGGCGGCGGCGACGGCGGCGGCGGCGGCAGCAGCAGCAGCAGCAGCAGCAGCGACGACGGGUCUUCCUCCUCCUCCAGCCCCUUGCCCUCUUUUCCUUUCUCCUUUCCGGCCGGAUCUCGUCCACUUCCCCUAACAGCGGCCCCAAUCCUACGAACCGAAUUCAAAG